rnacentral:rRNA from 1 species
ACGGCUCAGUAACACGUGGAUAACCUGCCCUUGGGUCCGGCAUAACCCCGGGAAACUGGGGAUAAUUCCGGAUAACGCACAUAUGCUGGAAUGCUUUAUGCGUAAAAUGGAUUCGUCUGCCCAAGGAUGGGUCUGCGGCCUAUCAGGUAGUAGUGUGUGUAAUGUACCUACUAGCCAACAACGGGUACGGGUUGUGAGAGCAAGAGCCCGGAGAUGGAUUCUGAGACAUGAAUCCAGGCCCUACGGGGCGCAGCAGGCGCGAAAACUUUACAAUGCGGGAAACCGUGAUAAGGGGACACCGAGUGCCAGCGUCAUACGCUGGCUGUCCGGGUGUGUAAAAUACACCUGUUAGCAAGGGCCGGGCAAGACCGGUGCCAGCCGCCGCGGUAACACCGGCGGCCCGAGUGGUGAUCGUGAUUAUUGGGUCUAAAGGGUCCGUAGCCGGUUUGGUCAGUCCUCCGGGAAAUCUGAUAGCUUAACUAUUAGGCUUUCGGGGGAUACUGCCAGACUUGGAACCGGGAGAGGUAAGAGGUACUACAGGGGUAGGAGUGAAAUCUUGUAAUCCCUGUGGGACCACCUGUGGCGAAGGCGUCUUACCAGAACGGGUUCGACGGUGAGGGACGAAAGCUGGGGGCACGAACCGGAUUAGAUACCCGGGUAGUCCCAGCCGUAAACGAUGCUCGCUAGGUGUCAGGCAUGGCGCGACCGUGUCUGGUGCCGCAGGGAAGCCGUGAAGCGAGCCACCUGGGAAGUACGGCCGCAAGGCUGAAACUUAAAGGAAUUGGCGGGGGAGCAC